rnacentral:rRNA from 1 species
UACAGAGGGGGCAAGCGUUGUUCGGAAUUACUGGGCGUAAAGGGCGCGUAGGCGGCCUUCUAAGUCGAACGUGAAAUCCCCGGGCUCAACCCGGGAACUGCGUCCGAUACUGGAAGGCUUGAAUCCGGGAGAGGGAUGCGGAAUUCCAGGUGUAGCGGUGAAAUGCGUAGAUAUCUGGAGGAACACCGGUGGCGAAGGCGGAUCUCUGGGCCUUACCUGACGCUCAGGCACGAAAGCUAGGGGAGCGAACAGG